rfam:Ipomoea nil DNA, scaffold: scaffold3226, cultivar: Tokyo-kokei standard.
GCACUAGUGGUCUUGUGGUAGAAUAGUACCCUGCCAUGGUAUAGCCUCGGGUUCGAUUCUCGGCUGGUGUA